rnacentral:rRNA from 1 species
UACGUAGGGUGCGAGCGUUGUCCGGAAUUAUUGGGCGUAAAGAGCUCGUAGGCGGUUUGUCGCGUCGACUGUGAAAACCUACAGCUUAACUGUGGGCUUGCAGUCGAUACGGGCAGACUUGAGUUCGGUAGGGGAGACUGGAAUUCCUGGUGUAGCGGUGAAAUGUGCAGAUAUCAGGAGGAACACCGGUGGCGAAGGCGGGUCUCUGGGCCGAUACUGACGCUGAGGAGCGAAAGCGUGGGGAGCGAACAGG